rnacentral:sRNA from 1 species
CUCAGCAGAAGUCCAGGUUCCCAUGCAGGAAUUUUACUGGCCUGUGGUUGGAUCUGAAAGUUAAUGAUGAAGGAGCUAUUGGAAAAGCAGACUAAAAGAUGCUGAGGGUUGGAAAAGCAAAAGCAGAUGUGUGGCCCAAAACUGCUCCAAAGAAAGAUGAGAACAGCUUAGUUCCUCCUGCCCCUGUGGACAGCGACGGGGAGAGUGAUAAUUCAGACCGUGUUCCUGUGCCCAGUUUUCAGAAUUCCUUCAGCCAAGCUAUUGAAGCAGCCUUCAUGAAACUGGACACACCAGCUACUUCAGACCUCCUCUCUG